rnacentral:lncRNA from 1 species
AUGGGGGGACCUCAGCCUUCCUCCGUCCCACCUCUCCCAUCCACCUGCCACUGGCCGCGUCUCCACGCAGGUGCAGCUUGCCUGGAACGGAGGGCAGCCGCUGGCCUUGCAGCUCACCUGGGCCAACAGGUCCUCGACGCAGAGCACCUCCUGGGAUGGUUGCGUGGCUGCCUCCCUGGGGCAGGUACACAUUGCCCGCCCUCCCGACCCGGCACCGGGCUGCCCCAAACCCCGGGCCCUGUGCUGCCGCCCCUGCCCCAGUCACAUCCACAUCCUCUUCCCCGUCAGCUCCAGGACACCUGGGGCCUGGGCACCCUCAGGGCCUGUGGGGCCUUAACGCAGACCCCAGCUGUGCUCAGCGAGUGGCUGGAUCUGUCCUGGGACGGACGCCAGGUGCGGCAGAACCUGACUUACGAGAGGCGCCAGCCAUUCCUCCCGGACAAGAUCCAUGCAGAGGCCAUGCUGGAGCAUGUCCUCGGGGCCCCCUGCUCCACGCAGAGCUUCUGGGGAGACGUGGAGACAGACCAUGCCCGCUGGGUGCGCCACUCCCUGCGGCUGGGGCUCUGCCACCUGCCCACGGCACUCUCAGUCUCUGGGGAGCACACCCUGGGCAGCGGUGAGCUCCUGCUACACUCCAGAUGCCAGCUGGGCCUCGCCCCAGACCCAGAUCACGGCCUGCACCUCAGCCUGACACUCCACAACCACAGCAGGCCCCGGACGCAUGACUACUCCGGGGAGCUGGAGCUCCAUGGCCCCAAAGCUCAGUGGCUUGGCCUGCUGGGCCGCGUCUCCACCUCGGCUUCUCGAAGCCUGGUCCAGCUGGAGGGAAGCGUGGACGACGGGGAUGAGAAAGUGAGGCUGUCGGUGUCUCGGGCCCCGAACUGCCUCCAGGCCUCGGUGGCCCACGAGGAAGGGAGCCAAGAGGAGAGCGUGCUGCUGCGGGCCUGCGCCCACAGGCAGGCGGCGGAGGUGGAGGCUCUGCUCCGGGACCGAGGGCAGCCCGUCCAGCCGCUGGUUCGCUUGACCCUGCAGGCUGCCAACCAGAGCCUCCGCUUGGCCGCACGCGGCUGCCAGGGGACCCUGCUGGGCCACGUGGAGGUGAGAUGGCUGGGGGCAGGGGAGGAGUGGCCAUUCCUACCACCCCCACCCGAGCCCCACCCAAGGCCACAGGCCCAGGCUCCCAGAGUCCAGCGGAGCCAAGGAAAGUGGAGGCAGACAGCCCGUAGCGUGGCACGCAGUUUCACAGCCCUGCUGCUGGCAUCGAAUGCUUUGUGCCCGCUGCAUUCCCGGGGGGCCAGCCUGUCCCUCUGUGUCCGCAGUCCAGGGUGGCUGCUCUCGGGUCCCAGAUGCAAGCGGGGCUGGAGGAGAGGAUCCACAGCUUGGAUGCCUAUGUGAGACGGUUCCAGCGCCUGGUGCAGCCAGCGGGCGCCCUGGAUGGCAUGGCCGGCCUGCUUCUGCGGCUGUGCCAGGCGGGGCUGGGGGCCGUGCAGGAUGGUGGCAGGGCGGUGGCCGCGCUGUGGGGCCUGAGCCCCACUGGGCGGGUGCUCACCCUCCACGUGCCGCUCUCCCUGGAGAGGCUGCGGGCAGGUCUGGAGCAGCUGCGGAAGGAGCUAGAACGGCCCCUGGCCACGCUGAAGGAUGCCUACCUGGAGGUGACGGUGCAGCCCCUGGACAACGUGUGGCGGAAGCGGGCGGAGGAGGCCCUGCGGCAGCUGCAGGCCUGGGUGUCCGGGACACCGGGCACCUGGGGGUCCGGACCCCUUGGGGCAGCGCUGGAGGCCACAGGGGGCGCCCUGGAGCUGGCCGCCCACCAGAUGCUGUCUUGGGCCGACGCUGCGCUCUCACGGGCACUGAGGCGGCUCCGCAGACCCCUGUUGGACCUGUACAGCUUCUCGGCCAGGUGACUGUUCCGCUCCGAGGCCCAGCCCCACGCCAGGCACACCUUCCACCUCAUCCACUUCCCUGCCAGAGGCAUUUUCAUCCCCAUUUUACAGAUCAGAAAACUGAGGUCUGUUCUUCAUUCUGCAGAUAUUUUACAAGUGUUCUCUCUGAGCAGGUGGGGUUUUAGAUGCUGCAGACGCAGUGGUGGGUGGGACAGGUUCUGGCCCUCUCCUGGCUGCCUGGGGAGACAGUGACCAGGUUAUCUGCCCCUCGGGGGCGGCAAGCCUUCCUGUAAACGGCCUGAGAGUGAUGUGUACGGAUUUUGUAGCUAGCUGGCCCCUCAUGCAGCCUUGGUCUUUUGUUUCUGUUAAGAAUUCUUUGAACAUGUCAAAGCCAUUCUUAGCUUGUAGGCUGUCCAAAAACAGGACACAGGCUGGAUUUGGCUACAGACCAUAGUCUACCCACCUUUGAGGUAGUACGUGUGCCAAGUCGCCUUAGUCAGGUACGAUUCUUUGUGACCCCAUGGACUGUGACCCGCCAGGCUCCUCAGUCCAUGGAAUUUUCCAGACAAGAAUACUGGAGUGGGUUGCCAUUCCCUUCUCCAGGGGAUCUUCCCAACCCAGGGAUCAAACCCAUGUCUCUUACGUCUCCUGCCUUGGCAGGCAGGUUCUGUACCAUUAGUGCCACCUGGGAAGCCCCUGAGCUAGUAUGUUAUCUAACUGCCACAGGGAAAAAAGGACAUGGGGGCAUUUUUUUAACAUUAACCUUUUAAUGAAUUAUUAGUUUGGCCAAGUGGUGCAGCAUGCAGGAUCUGAGUUCCCGAACCAGUGAUUGAACCCAUGGCCCCUGCAGUGGAAGUGCGGAGUCUUAACCACUGGACUGCAAGGGAAGAUGCCGACGGGGGCAUUUUACAGAGUGAGGCCAUGGUUGGCUUCAGUGAGAAGGCAGCAUCUGAGCCUUGUAAGGGCGAGGAAGUGAGCUGGGUAUAGUCAUGGGAAGAGAGUUCCAGGAGGAGGGCAAAGCCGGCGCAAAGGCCUGGGGGAGCAAAUGCAUCUGCUGCCGGAGGAAUAUGAAGGAAGCCGGGGGAGCUGGAGCGGAGGGUGGAGGAGUUAGGGAGAUAACGGGCUUCUGGAAUACACAGGAGGUUUUGAGCUGAGGAAGGACAUGCUCUGCCUUUCAUUUAAUAAGAUCCCUCUGGCGCCCAUGUAGAGAAUAAAGACUGGGGUCAGGAAGUGGGGGAUAGAAGU